CUUUUUUGUUCUUAUAGUCACUAAUGAAGUGUUAAGUCUGGGGCAGCGUUACCCUCCCAGCAGUCUUCCCAGUGCCAUCCUCCUUCUGAUGUAAGUGAACCCUAUGAAGGAAAGCCGUCUUUAUCUAAAACAGAAUGAAACCACUGCAGUGAAUGAGAGCCGCAGUAUAAGAGAGAAUCUAUCCUGGGCCGGGCUCCAGCCUCGAGAGUCAGUCACCUUCCACACCAGCUCCGCUUCUUCCAGGCACAGCUCCUAGAAGACUGCAGAGAUCUGCUCAGUGAAGGUUUCAGGAGAAAAGGGCCCUGCAGUUGGAGUGGCUUUGGUGCAGCAGAAGACAUCAGCACAGCCUGCUACUUGGUGUUCCUGAAGGAUGGGAUGC
ensembl:lncRNA